UACGUUCCUUCUUUGUCUCUCCUACGCACUUUCAGUCCCUUCUCAACGUUACAUUUCAGGAACGUGUCGUCGUAAUAACGAGCCCCGAUAUUUCGAUCGAAUAACAGCAAAGGAGAAAGAGAUAUAAAUAAUCGAAUAGAAAUUCAUACUCUAAACGACCUCGAAGGCCAAGCCGUAAACAUGCGUUUACAAAUUGAAUUUCCAAUAUCAAAGGUGCUGCCACGAAGAAUUCCGGAGAUAACUGUGUCUGUCCUUGUCAUUUAAUAAAAACGCGCUAAAAGAUUAACCCCGUAACGAACAUGUCAAGAAUUAGUACGAGUUACGAAAACCUAUCUGAUAUUCUGUUAAUAUUUUAUUUAAUUCGAAGAUAUAAAUACAACUAUGACUGUUUCCCAUUCAUUUGGAAAGAAAGAGAAAAUAGAUAGAGAAAGAGAGAGAGAGAAAAAGAAAGAAAUAAAGAGGGAAAGAGACGAAAGUUUGAAAAUCUUCGUUCUCUUCGCAAAGAGAACGCGGACCAAAUUCAAGCUGCUGGAUUGUUACUGAAAAGAUAUCUAACGAACUGUCCGGCUUGUCCCGAGAAAGCAAAAGAAGAAUUCUUUCCUGAAAACGAUAAAUGAGAAACGUUCACGACGACAGAUUCAAGCCGGAGGCUGAAAAGCGGAAAAUCAAAAAGUACCGACUCUGAUACGACCCUCGCGCCCGAGAUAGGAGAAUGUAUGUUUGGCGAUAGGACGAUAGAAGGAUAGAAGGGAGGGAGGAGGAAGGAACGAAGAAAAAAUUCUAAUUGGGUUUGUUCAGAACGGACAACGACAGCGCGCGCUAAAAAUAGAAGCUAAUGGCCAAACAAUCAAAGACUAAUCGAUAGUAUAAAGAGAGCCUCGGAGUGUAUCCGUACGGGGAGUGCAGGCACCUCGCUACAUAUUAGAUUUUAAUUUCGUCACAGUAAUACAUGACCCCGUUAUCCAUUGAGUACCUCGUUUUUUCUUUACUAUCAGUUGUUACCGUUUAUUGAAAAACCGUCGAUAUUACAGUUUUCAGGUAAAGUAUCGAUUCGCAUCGAUAAUAUCCCACGUAAGAUAGCAGUAUCUACUUUUUACCGACAUGGGAAUCAUAAAAAUAACUUUACCUUUUACCGAUAGAUGAACCAGUUACUCUCUACAAAUUUAUCGACGUUAUCGACCUUCUACUCGACGAUCUACCUUCUCGACACGAUGAAGAAACAUCUUUACCACUGACAGGAUAAAACAGAUUUCUCCUACAAU